CUAAGAACCCUGAUUGACCAGGAAGAAAAAAAAUUAAGUCUGAAUCAUGUCCCUCAAGAGCUUGGCACACACGUGAUUUCAAUACAGUCCGUGUUCUGGAGGAAAGACGGGACUCUUGGAGCUUCAGUAAGGAACACAAAGGCCUUUGACUGCAAGGAACUCAGUCUACUGGGAGAGAUGGAUACAUCAACAGAAUCAUCGAAAUGCCUUUCCUUUAAAGCAAAGACCAUUCAGAAUCAAAGGCUCAUUUCCUGGAAAUACAGGGCUGGACGGCAGCCAUCCCUCAAAUGAGGCCCCAUGGAGAAGACUUGGAAAUGCACGCUCCCAACUCAGGUUUCCAGUGGAUGCAUAUUAAACCCCAAGGACUGGAAGCUGAGGUCAUGGAUUGCUUUCUCAUUGCUGUCAAGGUGCCCAAAAAAAAGAGACACUGUUUGCACCCCCGGGCUCACUGGUUCAGUCUUUCUCCUUCUUCCCCGGCUUCUCACCACUCCUCAUGCACUGUCAGUAGAAGCCCUGCCUCUACCUGCAAUAGGAAACUGAGCCGAGAGACGGUCCCCUUACGGCCUCUAACCUGCGCAUCUCAGGCACGAGAUCCUCUCCCUUCAGCAUUCCUGCCUUCCUUAUUCCCUGUGUCCUGGGACCUCUGCACACCUUAUCUCCAGCCCUGUUUGGCAUCGACAUUCUAAUUCUCUGGCUUGAACAGCCUCCCAGACCAUGCUGGAAAUACGGAAGCAGGACAAGAAGCAAGAAAACAGAGACCAAGAGAGAGGCCGAAGCAAAUUAAUGCUGAACACUGGGGAGAAGCCCAUCCUUCUUCAGCUGCUGGUGAGUCGGUAUGAGCAGUAUCGGUCUACUCCUUAAUCCCCUAGCCCUUCAGUGGCUCUGGCUGACUCCGGCUGCCAGUGUCUACAUCCCUGGGUCUAAAGGCCUUAUUUCCAGAAGCUAUAGCAGGCUAGAGGCAUUGCAGAAUUAGCACCUCUCUAGAGCAGUCCUCAAUCAAUGGCUCACAGGGGUUGAUACGCCAGCUCCCUCACCCGUUGGGCUGGGUAUAUCUGGGUUAGUGUUUUGCAUCAUGUCACAGUGAGAGGAAGCUUUUAUGGCCCACUGUGAUUGUCUUAAUCACACAUCCUUUAUUGGCUGCCUGCUACUCUGUUCUCUUCCCUUCUCUACCGGUGUUUCCUGCACCUCCCAAAUAAAGCAGUUGCAUGUUAAUUCUUGUCUCA
rnacentral:lncRNA from 1 species